AUUGAACGCUGGCGGCAGGCUUAACACAUGCAAGUCGAACGAGCGGCGGACGGGUGAGUAAUGUCUGGGACACUGCCUGGUGGAGGGGGAUAACUACUGGAAACGGUAGCUAAUCCCGCAUACCAUCAGAUGUGCCCAGAUGGGAUUAGCUAGUAGGUGGGGUAAAGGCUCACCUAGGCGACUAUCCCUAGCUGGUCUGAGAGGAUGACCAGCCACACGGGAACUGAGACACGGUCCAGACUCCUACGGGAGGCAGCAGUGGGGAAUAUUGCACAAUGGGCGCAAGCCUGAUGCAGCCAUGCCGCGUGUGUGAAGAAGGCCUUCGGGUUGUAAAGCACUUUCAGCGAGGAGGCGUUACCCGCAGAAGAAGCACCGGCUAACUCCGUGCCAGCAGCCGCGGUAAUAC
rnacentral:rRNA from 1 species